CGGCGGUAGACCCGGGGAACUGAAACAUCUCAGUACCCGGAGGAAGAGAAAGAAAAAUCGAUUCCCUGAGUAGCGGCGAGCGAAACGGGAAGAGCCCAAACCAGCUUCGGCUGGGGUUGUAGGACACCGAUAAUCGGUGGAAUGGCAAGCUGAACGGCCUGGAACGGCCGACUAUAGGGGGUAAGAGUCCCGUAGGCAUCAUCCAUUCCACUGAGCGGUGUAUCCUGAGUACGGCGGAACACGAGGAAUUCCGUCGGAAUCCGGGAGGACCAUCUCCCAAGGCUAAAUACUCCUUAGUGACCGAUAGCGAACCAGUACCGUGAGGGAAAGGUGAAAAGCACCCCGGAAGGGGAGUGAAACAGAACCUGAAACCGUGUGCCUACAAGUAGUCAGAGCCCGUUAAUGGGUGAUGGCGUGCCUUUUGUAGAAUGAACCGGCGAGUUGUGAUUACAUGCAAGGUUAAGCAGCGAAUGCGGAGCCGCAGCGAAAGCGAGUCUGAAGAGGGCGAAUUGAGUAUGUGGUUGCAGACCCGAAACCAGGUGAUCUACCCAUGUCCAGGCUGAAGUCCAGGUAACACUGGAUGGAGGGCCGAACCGACUUACGUUGAAAAGUGACCGGAUGAGGUGUGGGUAGCGGAGAAAUUCCAAUCGAACCUGGAGAUAGCUGGUUCUCUCCGAAAUAUAUUUAGGUAUAGCCUCAUGAGAGCAUCGUGGAGGUAGAGCACUGUUUGGACGAGGGGCCCAUCCCGGGUUACCGAAUUCAGACAAACUCCGAAUGCCAUCGAUGUGCUUCAUGGGAGUCAGACAGUGGGUGAUAAGGUCCAUUGUCGAGAGGGAAACAGCCCAGACCACCAGUUAAGGUCCCAAAAUAUAUGUUAAGUGGAAAAGGAUGUGGCGUUGCACAGACAACUAGGAUGUUGGCUUAGAAGCAGCCAUCAUUUAAAGAGUGCGUAAUAGCUCACUAGUCAAGUGACGCUGCGCCGAAAAUGUACCGGGGCUAAACAUAUUACCGAAACUGUGGAUUAAUUUAUAUUAAUGGUAGGAGAGCGUUCCAAUGGCAGGGAAGCAUGAUCGUGAGGACAUGUGGAGCGAUUGGAAGUGAGAAUGCCGGUGUGAGUAGCGAAAGACGGGUGGGAAUCCCGUCCACCGAAUGACUAAGGUUUCCAGAGGAAGGCUCGUCCGCUCUGGGUUAGUCGGGACCUAAGCCGAGGCAGAGAUGCGUAGGCGAUGGCCAACAGGUAGAAAUUCCUGUACCGGUGCGUGUCCGUUUGAGUGAUGUGGUGACGCAGUAGGAUAGAUGGAGCGUGUG
rnacentral:rRNA from 1 species